GGCCGGUUAGCUCAGUAGGUUAGAGCAUGGUGCUGAUAACACCAAAGUUGCGGGUUCGAUUCCCGUUCGGUCC
rnacentral:tRNA from 1 species